ACUAUGUAAGAAGAAUUAUGGUUUGAACUACGUAACAAUUACCUAGACAUCUUUUGGACUUCAGUUAACCUAAAUUAACUCUGCAAAAAGCGCUGUGGAGAACCUGGGUUUUAAUCUAGGGUUUUGCAAGUUCAUGCACCUGGCAGUGGCCUAAGGCGCAGAAGGACCAAACUGAGGUGUCAAGCACUGCAGUAGAUUCUGAAGAUACAAAAAUAAAUAAAACAUUCCUGCCCUCAAGACACUUACACUCUUAUGUGUAACACUGUGUGACCAUUCAUCUGGGCCUUCCUGAGACAGUCUUGGUUUACACCUGUUUUCCCAAUCAGAGCAUCACUGCCUUUCCCACUAUUCUCCUGCAGAAGAGCAGGGGAAGGAAGCACCAGGGUCCAUCAUGGAGGCCUGGUUGAAGAUGGCUGAGCGUAAAACAGAAUGCAAGUCAGCUGGAGCACGUACUACUGGAGGCAGAGCCCCAUGAGAAGGGGCCAAGAACCCGCACCCAUCAAAAUCAAGAAGAAAGGCUGAACCCGGAGAGAAAAGGGAGCAACUGAUGUUGCCAUGCAGAUCCCUUGGUUGCUAUGAGAUGGUAACAUCACUCUGCCCCACCAUUGGCCAGUGCCUCCUCAGCUGCGGUGCCUCCCAGGCUGUGUGGUUCUCACGCGGGCCACUGACACAGAGCUGUUACUAUGGUGAACUUUACAAUUUCCUUUGAUUGGUGGAUUUCAGAAAUAGGCCAUCAGCGGAAUUCAUUAUAUUCAGCUAAGUAAAAAUGAAAAAUAAAUACUAUAACUUUCCCCUCAUCACUAACAUGAAGGAAACGUGACCCUUCAUGACAUAAUAAAUCGCUGUUCGGUAACUUAGGAUCCUUCAGGGGACUGAAGCGGGAUGAUCCUCCUAUGCCAAAUUUGGGUGGGAAAGAUAUUCCCUGUAGCUUUGAGUCGACUCUUCAGAGUUAAGGGCAGUGGGCCAACCAGAGUUGGAACUUCAGAGUUGGGAGGAGGUGUGGGAUGGGGCAUGCAUUGAAAUGUAAACUCUAUUGUCUCUGAAGUGAUGGGUGAUGCUGGGGGCCUGAGUGUGGAGGGCAGUUUUACAUCUCAGGACAAUGUUUUCUCAGAUGCUCUUCCAGAAAGAAAAGCCAGGAGUACUCCUGGCUGGAGGCGGCAUGCCUGAGGUCAGAGUCAAAGUAGGGUUUGUGCUGUCUGAAUCCUUUCUCCCACUCUCCCCAGCCUGGCUCAGCUUCUCAGCUUCUCAGGUGGAUUGGUGAGUCCUGGCCAAUUACGCUUCAGCUCAUCUCUACUCUCAGCAAAUAGGAAAAGGGAGUGAAGGACUGAGUUUUAACUCUUCUAAUUUCGUAACCUGACUCUCUAUAAGAAAAAGUAGGAGAAAGACUGAAGAACCCGAGAGAACAGGCCUCUGAGCCCAAGCCAAGCCAUCGCAUCCCCUGUGACUUGCCCGUAUAUAUGCCCAGAUGGCCUGAAGUAACUGAAGAAUCACAAAAGAAGUGAAUAUGCCUUGCCCCACCUUGACUGAUGACAUUCCACCACAAAAGAAGUGUAAAUGGCCGGUCCUUGCCUUAACUGAUGACAUUACCUUGUGAAAGUCCUUUUCCUGGCUCAUCCUGGCUCAAAAAGCACCCCCACUGAGCAUCUUGCGACUCCCACUCCUGCCCACUGAGCACCUUGUGACCCCCACUCCUGCCUGCCAGAGAACAAACCCCCUUUGACUGUAAUUUUCCUUUACCUACCCAAAUCCUAUAAAACGGCUCCACCCUUAUCUCCUUUUGCUGACUCUCUUUUCUGACUCAGCCCGCCUGCACCCAGGAGAUUAAAAGCUUUAUUGCUCACACAAAGCCUGUUUGGUGGUCUCUUCACAUGGAUAUGCAUGAAAUUUGGUGCCGUGACUCGGAUCGGGGGACCUCCCUUGGGAGAUCAAUCCCCUGUCCUCCUGCUCUUUGCUCCGUGAGAAAGAUCCACCUACGACCUCAGGUCCUCAGACCGACCAGCCCAAGAAACAUCUCACCAAUUUCAAAUCCAGUAAGCAGCCUCUUUUUACUCUCUUCUCCAACGUCCCUCACUACCCCUCAACCUCUUUCUCCUUUCAAUCUUGGUGCCACACUUCAAUCUCUCCCCUCUCUUAAUUUCAAUUCCUUUCAUUUUCUGGUAGAGACAAAAGAGACACGUUUUAUCCAUGAACCCAAAACUCCGGCGCCGGUCACGGAAGGCAGCCUUCCCUUGGUGUUUAAUCAUUGCAGGGACGCCUCUCUGAUUAUACACUCACGUUUCAAGGGUGUCAGAC
rnacentral:lncRNA from 1 species